CUUCACUGUCAUAUUUUUCAGGUUUUGGGACUCAGACUGAGCCACUGCUGGCUUCCUUGCUCCUCAGCUUGCAGAUGCCUAUUGUGGGACUUCACCUUACAGUCAUACCCGAUGUGAAGCCUGACUGAGCAGAGUGGAGACCAGCAGCUGCACGUCAAGUGGCCUUCCAGGACUUGACUCCAUAUGCAUGUUCUCGUCCAUGGGCUCAUACCCAGUCCAAAGGACUUUACCCCAGCUCCAUCUUUGCCCAGACACACUUGAGGCUGCAGGGUUUCGGUGACUGUAAAUUGGUCUUGACCCUCUGAGGAAAUGGGGAUGCUGCAGAAGACACUGGCUAAAUUGAUAAAAUGGUAUGUACCAAGUGCUUCUCCUAUCCUCAUCAGGAAGCAGGUGAUCAACUGGGGCCUCCAGCCACCCCUGCUGAUGUUCUCCAGCUGACAGAGGUUUGAAUUCUCCCUGGGAUGGAAACCCCAGAGGGAGGGGUGGGCUGCCAUCUUUGCUGUUUGGGUGACUUAGCUGUUUCAGCCUUUGGGUAUUGGAGAGUCUGAGCUGACUGGGGGCAGAAGAGGUCCCCCAGCACAGCACAGCUGCUCCACCAAAAGGUGGUCAGACUUCUUCUUUAAAUGGGUCCCUGAUCCUGUUCCUCCUCACUGGGUGAAAUGUCCCAACCAGGACCUACAGUCACCCCUGUUUGUGUUCUCCAUCCUACAGAGAUUUGUAACCACCCUGGGACAGAGCUCCCAGAGGGAGAGAUGGGCCACUAUCUUUGCCAUUUAGAUGAUUUAGCUGUUCCAGCUUUCAGGCCUCAGAGUAUCUGAGGAACCAGGGGCUGACAUGGACCCCCAGCACAGCACAGCUGCUCUACCAAAACAUGGCCAGACUGUUUCUUUAAGCAGGUCCCUGAUCCCAUUCCUCCUCACUGGGCCGGACCUCCAAAAUGGGGUCUUCAGCCAUCUCCUACAGGUGCCUUUGCAUUGGCAACAGGCCUGUACCAUCCUGGGAUGAAGCUUCAGGGAGGGACUGCUGCUAUUUUUGCUGUUUCACAGUCUUCACUGGUGAUACCUCCAGGUACUGGACUAUCUGAGGCAACUAAGGACUGGAGCAGGCCCCCAGAAUACCACAGCAGCCCUACAGAAAAGAGGACAGACUGUUACAUUGGUGCCCAUUCCCAUGUCUCCUCAUCAGGUAGAUUCUCCAAGCCUAGGCCUCCAGCCACCCCCCGCCAGAGCUAUGAAGCCAGUAGCAACUCAGCAACUCCAUGAACAGAGCCUCCAGCGCCAUCUGAAAGCCCCUCUGCCACUGCCUCUGCAGUGGAACUGUCCUUGCCACCCUCAGACUAACAAAGGAGCAAAGGCCCUAAGUGCUUUAUUCACACCUCCAACAAGCUGCAGUCAACCCAAGGAGAGGAGAUCAGUCUGUUUCCCAUGGGUCCCAUACUCCCUCUCCCACUGCUCAUCACCAGGCAGGGAACCCCUGGCAUGGACCCACGGCACAGAUGCUCCACCUUGAGCUGACUGCACUGAGUGGCUGCUGACCUUCAUCUCUCUGGAAUGGAGCCCCCAGGAGACAAGCAAACAACCCUUGGCCACAACCACUAAUAAGAUCCCUUCCUCUGCUGCUUCCAACUUGAGGAAGGAACAUAAACACUGAGAUCACCCCAGAGCUGCAGUGGGCAGCCCAGGAGUCCCAAGUCAUAAUCACAGCCAGCACUCAAGAGGGAGAGGAACCCACACUUUCAGAGCAUUGUGAGAAAACACAGCUGCAACUGUGAGGAAACAUAGGGGAGCCAUACAACUGACCAAUAAGCCUAAGUGCCACCUGCUGGAUCACACCCCAAAGCGUCAACAUAAAUAAUACCUUACUAACAUAUCCGGCCUCUGAAACCAGAGACAAGAAGUCAGCUUCAAAUAAAGACCCCACACAAAGCCUCAGCCCAGGAAAAACAUCCAGAAAAGAAGUCUAUUGACUGUACUUAAUCUACACUGCGGUUAAAGAAACACCCACACACAGAGAUGAGAAAGAAGCAAUGCAAGAACUCCAGUAACUCAAAUGGCCAGAGGGUCAUAUGUCCUCCAAACGACCACACUAGUUCUGCAACAAUAGUUAUGAACCAUGCUGAACUAGCUGAAAUGACAGAAGUAGAAUUCAGAAUACAGAUAGAAACAAAGAUCACUGAAAUUCAGGAGGAUGGCAAAACCCAAUCCAAGGAAAACAAGAGUCACAAUAAAGUGAUACAAGAACCAAAGGACAAAAUAGCUGGUAUAAAAAAGAACCUAACAGGUCUGACAGAGCUGAAUAACACAACACAAGAAUUUCACAAUGCAAUCACAAGUAUUAACAGUAGAAUAAACCAAGCUGAGGAAAGAAUCUCAGAACUUGAAGACUGAUUCUUUGAAAUAAGAGAGUCAGACAAAAAUAAAGAAAAAUAAAAAAUAAAAAGAAAUGACCAAACCUCCAAGAAGUAUGGGAUUAUGUAAACAGGCUAAAUUUAUGAAUCACUGGCAUCCCUGAAAGGGAGAGGGAGAAAGCAAACAACUUGGAAAACAUAUUUCAGGAUAUUGUCCAUGAAAACUUUCUCAACCUUGCUAGAGAAGCCAACACACAAAUUCAGGAAAUACAGAGAACUCUUGCAAGAUUCUACACAAGGAGAUCAUCCCCAAGACACAUAAUCAUCAGAUUUUCCAAGGUUGAAAUGAAAGAAAGAAUGUUAAAGGCACCUAGAGCGAAAGGGCAGGUCACCUACAAAGAGAAGCCCAUCAGACUAACAGCAGACUUCUCAGCACAAGCCAGAAGAGAUUGGGGAUCUAUAUUCAACAUUCUCAAAGAAAAAGUCUUCAACCAAGAAUUUUAUAUCAAGCCAAACUAUGCUUCCUAAGAUCCUUUUCAGAUAAGCAAAUGUUGAGGGAAUUCAUUACCACCAGGUCUGCCUUACAAGAGAUUUUGAAAGGAGCACUAAAUAUAGAAGGAAAGACCACAACCAGCUAAUACAAAAACACACUUAAACACACAGACGAGUGUCACUAUAAAGCAACCACACAAACAAGCCAACAUAAUAACCAGCUAACAGCACAACGACAGGAUCAUAUCCACAUAUAUCAAUACUAACCUUUAAUGUAAACAGUCUAAAGGCCUCACUUAAAAGACACUGACUAGUAAGCUGGAUAAAAAAGCAAGACCCAAUGGUAUGCUGUCUUCAAGAAGCCCAUCUCACACUUAAUGGCACUCAUAGGCUCAAAAUAAAGGAAUGGAGGAAAAUCUACUAAGCAAAUGGAAAACAGAAAAAAGCAGGAGUUGCAAUCCUAAUUUCAGACAAAGACAUUAAACCAAUGAAGAUAAAAAAAGAAGGGCAUCACAUAAUGGUAAAGGGUUCAAUUCAACAAGAAGACCUAAUUAUCCUAAAUAUAUUUGCAACCAACAGAGAAGCACAUAGAUUAAUAGAGGAAACUCUUAAAGACCUUCAAAGAGACUUAGACUCCCACACAAUAAUAGUGUACUUAAAAACUCUCCAGCCUUUCGUUUCAGCAGAACUGAGUUCAAUCUCUUUCCUCCAUUGCAAUAGUCUUGAAUAGUCUUCCUUGCCUAUUUAAAUCCAAAAAAAAAAAAAAGAAAGGAGACGACAUUGGGUACAGGUGUGUACAUUGGAAAAACCACUUUAUUUAUUUCCUGAUAAUCUACUGUCAUUC